ensembl:lncRNA
CUUUACUGGACACAGAAUGAUUUGCCAUCAUCUUUAUAUUACACUUCAAAUGAAGCACAAAUGAACUUUGCCUUGGAAGAGAAUGUUGCUAAGGAGGGGUUCACGUUAUCAUUCAGCUUUGGAUUAUGCUUUUCAGCGUAGGUCAAAGGAACUCUCAAGAAACAGCUGCUCCACAAGUGUGCUGAUACAAGAGACUUCAGACUGGAUUCACACUGGAUGACCGGCACAACACUUUGUGGUGAUGCAUGCCUUCUCCUUAAUCUCAGUGCUCAAAUUAAAUCUUCCCCCCACUAGGGGACAAAGUCAGCUGAAGACAAGGGAGAGUGAAAAAAAAAAUUAUAGCGUAGCCUAAUGUUGGGUCAAGUUAAGAAAAAAAAAGAGAAGAAAAGAAAAGAAAAAGAAAGAAAUAAAGGAAAAAAAAAAUAAAAAAGCAGACAUCUAUCAUAAUCCAGAGUCAUCCCAUAAGAAUUUCUCAUCUCUACAGCAGAAUUUACUGGCUUUGGCAACAUGCACGUUUCUCUCUCAGCAUAUGAGAACUGCCAAUAAAAGCUGCUUUUCAGCUUCCCAGGCUUUUUUUCCUCUUGCUUUUUUUACCUGAACCAACUUCACUUUCUAACUGUGGAGCAAUGGUGCUCCAGAUCUUUCAAGUCCAUCAUGAAGCCUCUGUUAUUUUAUUAGCUGAAUGUGUAAAUUAAAAAUGUCUUGAGAAUAUUUUUAUCUCACAGCUAUCACUCUUUCAAAUAAUAAGUUGGAUUAUUGCCCUUCUGGGUGAACAUCAACAGUUGUGCACAAGAAGAUGUGAAACAGAGCUCCCAG